AUCAUUUUACAUACUCAAAAUAUAUGACAUAUUUUUUUUAAAUAUAAUAGCUAGCUAUUUUAAAAUAUUGUAGCCAACUCGCCACAGCUGCCUCCGUCUCCACCAUCUUACUAACAUGAAAAGAUUGAAAAGAUUUGUGGGCUGAGUACUAGUGUACCCAGUGGGUCGUGCAUUUUGAAAUAAUCAUUUUCAUAUGAUAGUCCAUGCACAUACGUGAAUUAUAGAAGGUUUUAAAAUAAAACAUUUAACUUCUAUAAUCACAAAACAUUUUCAUUCAUUGCGCGCGCCAUACCGUAGCACCACUGUUACCCUUAUCAUUUCAUUCGUAGUCCCUGGGCGACCCCUGGGAAGUAAUCAUUCAUUCAUUCAUUCAUUAACUAGAUGGGACAUCGGGACAAACCCACGUCAGCUACACCAUCUAGCCGGAUUAAGGGCGAACCUAUAAUCCUCAUUUCGUCUAUAAGGCUCGUGGGAAUCAAUCCACUACCUUAAGACAGUGCGCACAACUUUUAAUAGGUGUGUCAGACCUAUUAAAAGUCACAAUUGUUAACAUAAGAGCAUUAAACAGUGGGAGAACGUGAAAACAUUUCAUGGACAUACCACAUUUUAUCUAAUAAUAACAGAGCUAAAUAACUCAAAUAUACUUUGAAAAAUAGAACCCACCUUAAUGCUGUGAUGCUUUCUGUCGAUUAUUCUCAAUCCUCUUGAACGACCACAUUUCAAAAGCUUAUUUUCAAUUUUAAGAGCUCAGUGCUCGAAAAUAACAUCCAAACCCACUAUUUAUACUAAUUUCAAUAGGCUAUAGGUUUGAUUAGUCAGCAGCCUAUUUAUAUAGGUAUGCUUAGUUAUUGCUUUAAAAGCUUUCCACGUAAAUUCAUGCAUGAAUAUAAAGAGAACAAUUCAUAUUAUUUUAAUGAAACACAAUUUGAUAACUAUCAUAUAUAUACUUUUAUAUAUUAUACGCAUAUAUAUGCAUACAUAUCAAUUAACAACUUUAAUUAGUCAUAGACAUUACAUGCGUAUAUACAUAUAUUAUAAAUAAAAUAAUUAUUAACACACACAUAUAUAUAUAUAUAUUAGAAUUCUAUUUGUACAAUCAUUUCCAAAAAUUCUUGAGUCUAUAAACUUGCGUUUGAAAACUCUUCAAACUAAUUAUAAUUAUGAAAACGUUGAGAAUUAUGAUAAAUAAAAUCAUAAUUAUUAACAAUAUAUAAUUCAACUUCUUGAUUGUCAAUCUAAUUUAUUUUAAGUCCAAAUAAAUUCAAAUUCCCUUAAUUUCUACCAAUUAUUCUAAAAAGUAAUCUAAUAUUAUUCUAGCGAAAAAUCGGGGUGUUACAAAACCAUAGAAAUACAAGUUCAUUCCAGCAACAAUACUCACCGGAUUUUUUUCAGGUACAAUUCCGACCAAAAAACCCUAUGAACUUUGGUUUUGAAUGAGUGAAAACAUAAUCGAACGUAGUAACGAACUUAAAUGAACCGAAAAGAGAGUUAGAACUCACCCAAAUGCAUUGGAUUCAUUGCGUUGGCUCGAUGAUUCUACCCAAAGCAAAUGGAACUGGCUUCGUUUUCCCUCCUUGCCUUUGUGGUUUCUCG
rnacentral:lncRNA from 1 species